rnacentral:rRNA from 1 species
AACGAACGCUGGCGGCAUGCCUAACACAUGCAAGUCGAACGAGACCUUCGGGUCUAGUGGCGCACGGGUGCGUAACGCGUUGGAACCUGCCCUUAGGUUCGGAAUAACUCCCCGAAAGGGGUGCUAAUACCGGAUAAUGUCUUCGGACCAAAGAUUUAUCGCCUUUGGAUGGGCCCGCGUUGGAUUAGCUAGUUGGUAGGGUAAAAGCCUACCACGGCGACGAUCCAUAGCUGGUCUGAGAGGAAGAUCAGCCACACUGGGACUGAGACACGGCCCAGACUCCUACGGGAGGCAGCAGUGGGGAAUAUUGGAAAAUGGGCGAAAGCCUGAUCCAGCAAUGCCGCGUGAGUGAUGAAGGCCUUAGGGUUGUAAAGCUCUUUUACACGGGAUGAUAAUGACAGUACCGGGAGAAUAAGCUCCGGCUAACUCCGUG